GUUGAGCGUUCUCCUCGAAGGACCCCCAACGACCCCCCUCGCCAUUCUCCCUCCCUUGAACCCACCCGCCCCGCAGCCGGAGGUGUCCGUUUCACAGGCCCCGAUCACAUUUCACAGGGGGAGUGCGAGGGGGGUGUUCUCCACACUUGAGUGCACACGUGAGAAGAAGAUGAGUUGCGAGAUAAAAUGGCUCCUCUGGCGGCUGUUAAACAAGUGCAUGCUAAAGUGGUUGCAGCCGUCCCCCGGCGCACUGAAAGAGCUGAGACGUUUUCAGACGUUUGCUUUGCUUUAUUUUCAGAUCGGUACCGGCAGACGUCGUGGAAAAUAAGUACAAAUGAACACAGUAUCAGUUCUAUGUUCAGGACCAAAUACAGUGAAGCACACGACGGUCUUCUGAUAAACACACACACAAAAAAAUGACCUCGUUCCGCUUGCCAAUGGAGCUAAUCUUCAGCGUCAGCUGUGUUUCUGUAGCUAACGUUCCCAGACUCAACGUGAUGCAACCGAUAUUUGAUGAAAACAUGCAAAUACUGAGAACCCUAUAGUACUCAAUUGUGGUGAUAGUAUUGUACUGUUUUUCACCGUUUUUCCAGUUUUCCUGAAUUUUUUGGGGCCGUGGCUAAAGGUCACCCCUUACCCACUAUAACCAACUUGAGCGCCUGCAUUCACAUCACCGGGUAUCCUGUGCAAUUGCGACAUGCGGUUAGCUAGCUAGCUAUGCCUGCACGCCGAAAUUGGAUUGGCGUGGUCGCUUUAGAGCGCCUCGUUGUCGGCCGUGAGUGCACACUUCACGGAGAGAACUUUUUUUUUUCCAACUUAAUAGCCAGGGUAUGGACCGGGACUUUGGGCUGUUUCAUUCCCCAUCACUCUAUUUCUCACUUCAUUAACCUACUUUGUCCCACUUCAUUCCCCAUCACUCUAUUCCUCACUUCAUUAACCUACUUUGUCCCACUUCAUCCUGCGUCAUCGCACUUUGAUCCACCUCAUCUUGCUUCACCUUUAAUUAGCUUUUUUUGUUUUUGCUUCAUCCUGCUUCGUCCAACAUCGUCCCACUACCGUAUGCAGC